rnacentral:rRNA from 1 species
GGAAGUAAAAGUCGUAACAAGGUUUCCGUAGGUGAACCUGCGGAAGGAUCAUUAUUCGAAUUAUUGGUGAGGGUUGUAAGUGGCCUUUCGAGGCAUGUGCACGCUCGAGCCCUUAAUCCACUUUACACCUGUGCACUUAAUGUAGGUCGCCCUUAAAAAAGGUGACCUAUGUCUUAUCAUCAACCCAUCGUAUGUCUCAUAGAAUGUAAUCGAUAUCCUCGCCCUAAAAAAGCGUUGAUAAACUUAUACAACUUUCAACAACGGAUCUCUUGGCUCUCGCAUCGAUGAAGAACGCAGCGAAAUGCGAUAAGUAAUGUGAAUUGCAGAUUUUCAGUGAAUCAUCGAAUCUUUGAACGCACCUUGCGCUCCUUGGUAUUCCGAGGAGCAUGCCUGUUUGAGUGUCAUUAAAUUCUCAACUCCAAGGGUUUCACGACCUUUCGGAGAUUGGACUUGGAGGUGCUGGCCGCAUAUUGGUCGGCUCCUCUCAAAUGCAUCAGCGGAAUUCAACCUUUGGCUUCCGGAUGUCAGUGUGAUAAUCAUGUUGCGCUGUCGUUUGAUCCCUCAGAGUCCAGCUUAUAAUGGUCUUCGGACAAAAUCAUCAUCUAAAUUGACCUCAAAUCAGGUAGGAGUACCC